CCGUUCUCAGUUCGGAUCGGAGUCUGCAACCCGACUCCGUGAAGCUGGAUUCGCUAGUAAUCGCGCAUCAGCCAUGGCGCGGUGAAUACGUUCCCGGGCCUUGUACACACCGCCCGUCAAGCCAUGGGAGCCGGGGGUGCUUGAAGUGCGUCGCCGCAAGGAGCGACCUAGGGCAAAACUGGUGACUGGGGCUAAGUCGUAACAAGGUAGC
rnacentral:rRNA from 1 species